rnacentral:lncRNA from 1 species
GGGACACCUGGUGUCAGAGAAAUGCACACCGGGUUUUGGAGCAGAGUGGACCCUUUUAACCUACUGUGUUCCUUAGAAGUACCCUCCUGUAUAGGUAAAACUAUGGGUAGGACUCCCCCUAGUCCCAAGCCCUAGGAGCCCACAGAGCCUGGCUUCCAUAUCAGUUCACUAAAGCCUGCACUUUCCUUCCUGCCUACCUUUUGCUCUCAGGCCUGCCGUACUUAAUAGGCUUGUGUGUACAAGGAAGCCACAGGCCCUCCUGAGACCAUCUUCCUCCAUCUUCCUGGAGCAAAGGGAUCUUUGCAUUGCAGUCAGGUUGCCGUGGGGGAAAGCCUGUUUGAGUUAAAUCCUUGGAAAGAGGAUCAAGGCUUCUGUGGAAGUCAAGUCACCCAGGUGCUUGUCAUCGGGAGACUCCCCGGCCCAACCUGGGAAGAAUGGUCCCAUGGGAAAACACAAGCUGUGGGACAUGGCAAGAUGGAACAUCAAGACAAGUCAUGUUGUAUAGACAGGAUAACAAAAGGAACAAAUACAGAUGGCUUUCUUUGAACACCAGUGAGUUAGUAAGGUGAACAGAUAUUGAAACAAUACUUAGAGGAUGAAAACAGUAUGAUGUCAACUUAUUCUUGUAUUGGAUUCUGAAUUUUUAUUAUUUAAUUUGAAAAGCUUUUUGUGGGUGCACCUUAGAUCCUGUGUUCCAGUUAAUCAGGUCAUUAUCUCAAGGUUGUGGUAUAGAGCCCUGUAUCAGGCUUCUUGCUGGGUAUGGUGCCUGCUUAAGAUUCUCUACCUUUCCCUCUACACCCUUCC